rnacentral:tRNA from 1 species
GGGAUUGUAGCUUAGUGGUAGAGUGCUUGCUUUGCAUGUGUGAGGCCCUGGGUUUGGUCCCCAGCACCA